rnacentral:lncRNA from 15 species
GUAGAUAAACAUAUUCCUUUUAUAUCAACUCCCUAUUAUGCUCAUACGUUAUAUGACACUUCCCCAGGAGCACUGUUAAAGUAUUUAGGAGGAGGCACUGACUCAGCCCAGGGGCAAUCCACCUCCUUAGGAGCAGCCAAGGCUGAUGAAUCAGGUCCAUCUCUAUCCUCUGCUCCAUCCACUGUGCCCACUGUCCUCUCUGCAACCUCAGCUGUACCUGGUCCUUCAUCUUUGGUCAUCAAGAUUGAUGUGUCUUCUUCAGCAUCCAGUUUGGAGCAGGGUUCAGCAGCUCCGCCAGUUGACCCAGCUGAGUCUUUCCUGUCAGACUCAGAAAGGACUGAACAGGUAUUAAGAGGGCCACUGCCUAAAAAGGACACAUUCACAUUCCCAAAAAGACACAUGGCAGUAAUAGAGGGCCCCAAAAUCAAAUUUUGCUUAGGGCGCCAUGGAGGCUUGGGCCGGCCCUGACACAAACCAUCAGUAGACCUGAACAAAAACCCCUCAGUGCCUGAACACUUGUAACAUGAAGCCACCAGAGGAGGAGCC